UAACACUAUCGGAGAUAACUCAUCGUUUCCACCACACUAUCUCCCGCUGACUUCUACACUGUUGUUUUCCUAACGAUGGAUGGAUAUUUUCAACUGUGGAUGGAUCUUUCACUAAUCAACCUGGGAUGACAUUGACUUCCUUGGAGACAGUUGAUUGUACAUGGAACUACCAUUCUUCUUUCAAUGGCUGAUUUAUCCUUUACCAGUUCCAGCCUACCAGGGGAAAAGAGGAAACUUUCAAGCAAAACCUUAGAGAAGAGAGCAAUCAAACAUAAAAGAUUUGAUACAAUACAGCAACAGAAGCUGUCAGAAGAUGCAUCCUCUUGCUCAUCUAGUACUUCCGCAACUCUGCUAUCAUUGGAUUCAUCACCGGCAUGCUCUACAGGUGCAUUAUUGCCAGUACAAACGGAAAGAGAAAAUACUUUAGGUGCAGGCAUGCUGAAAAGCAUCAGUCUUGUACAAAGUCGAACAAGUGACUCCUUUUGUGCUGCUCAAGGGGCAUCUGUAAACAAGCCUUCCGUGAAUAUGCUUCUAAGAAACUCACUUGAGCAGAGUAGAGCCAAAUCUGGCAUCGAAGACUGCAGUAAUACGCAUGACUCUGCUUCAGAUACAUGUGAUCAGGCUGCUCGAGCUAAAGGCUCACAAACUAGCAUUGUUGAUGAGCUGUUCAAAGAAUUUAUUGCUGCCAAAAUGAAGCAAGUAUCUAAUGGAUCCAACAAUCCUAGUGUGAAACUGGUGCCAAGUGCUUGUAGGAAUGAGCAUGGAGCAGCUUCAGAUGACCCUGACCCUCUGGCUGUUUCUAUGGAGGAAAUCAACAGGUUAUUGGAUGCAGAGAUCACUUUUAUUCAAUCGCGAAGCACUGCAUCUUUGCAAGAUAUGGAUUCUGAAAAUAAUGAGGAAAACAGUUGUACAGAAACCUUGACAGCUGCUCAUAGUCCAGGGCAUCUGCCAUCCGAAUUCUUAGCCUCUGAUUUACAAGAGACUGCUACUGUAUCUGCAUCUACAAAAAUACCUGUGCAUAGAUUGUCUGCUCUUGUGUCUGACUUGAACAGUGGCAUUGAGAGAAACGAGAAACCAGUGAAGGUAUCCACACUUUCAUGUCACUUGCCUACCCUUGAGAAUAAAGAUGGGGUCACUUUGGCUGCAGAAACUAUUACUGAAGUUUGUCUUCCUGGAACCAAUGCAGAAAAGAACAACAUCCAGGUGAUGGUAAGUGGUGACAGUGAAGGACGUCAGGGUCAGAGGGUAGAGUCUAGACCUGUUUCUUUGCUUGGCAAAAAGCCUCAGGUGAAGAAACUUGAUAUAGCCAUCAGACAAGAGAGCUUAGCCCUCAUCAUGGGAGCAGCCAAGAUGACCUCAAGCAAGACAUUAAAGGAUGGAGAGGUAGCGUCUUCAAGUGAUAUUGAGGAAGAUAAACCCCAAACUGCCAGCCCGAAGGAGAAGGAAGACAAUGCAAGUGAUGAAAAUGAAGUAUCUGAGACAGGUUCAUUGUCAGAUACAGAUGAGGAUAAAAGUGGAGAUAAGGGCUCUUCCAAGUCAAAGAAAAAGAAGAAACAUAAGCACAAGCAUAAAAAAAAGAAGAAGCACAAAUCCCAGAGCAAGGACAGGAAGGAGCAGGAUAAGCACUCUUUAGAAAAGGAGAUGAAAAUUGCCAAAAAUAAAAUAAAAGAUGGCAAAACAAGAAAUGACGCUGAAGGGGCAACGGAUAAGAAGCACAGCAAGGAGAGGAGAGGAUCAGGCAGUAGUAAAAUUUCCCAUUCUUGUUCACGCUCGCCAUCACAAAGCAAGAAGGAGAGGAGAUCAAGAUCUCCUAGAAACUCACACAGAACCAGAUCCCAGAGCAAAGAAAGAAAAAGAUCAAGGGAGAGAUUUGACCCUUGGGAUGCAAGAAAUUAUAGAGACCGGAAGUGCUCAUCUCACCAUUCCAAAAGGACACAAAGUCGUUCUCGCAGUAGGUCACAUAACAGAUCUUGUGACAGGUCAAGGCGGAGGUCACGAGAUAGGUCCUCGGAAAAGAAGCAGCACAGAUCUCAUGGGCGCUAUCGUUCACAUGAUCCAGAGAGGUCUUCUCAUGAAAAAGAGGACCAUAAGGAUUCCUUGGAUGAUCUUCGAAUCAGAAUUGAUAAAAACAAACUCAGGAAAAUUGCAAUUGCUAAUGCUUUGGCCAACAUGGAAUCAGGCCAAGGGCCGCCUGUGGACAUUUCUACCAUAAAGUGUGGAGGAAAAUCUAUUGCAGAAUUGACAGACUUCUGCAAACGAAUCAGUGAGCGAGAGAAGGAGCAGCAGGCUGGUCACUUGUCAGACAGUGGCAGUAGUGAUGCAGAGGCCAACACCAGUGAGGCUGAAGACAGUCUUAUUCACCAUCCCUUCAAGUUGCGAGAUCCUUCCACUGUACCCAACAUUAUUAUGAACAUCAGGAAUGCUAAGCAGCUGCCAGUGCUGAGUCCACAAGAGAAACAAGCGCAGGCUGCAGUAUUGCGCUCACAGUUUCCUGUCUCCAGUGGAGUUCAGCACCGCACCAAAGAGUCUGAAUGGGUUCCUGUAACGCCGACCACUGCAGUGACAGCCACCACUGUGACAACAACCAGCAGCACACCCAGUGUGAUUACCACAUUCACAGAACCUGUCAGACUCUCACAGACUUUGCCAAUGAACCAAGUACCAGCAACUCCAGCUGAGCAGAGUGUAUUUCCUGAGGUCAUCCAACAGAGCAUAGAUAUCGGAUCCAUCAUUUCUGAGCGCCUGCAGGCGGUGAGGAAGCUUCAGGAGAAUCCUUUUGAUGUUCAGGCACUGUCAUCCAUGCACAAGGCUCAAGAAAAGGCUAAUCAAUGGGCAGCAUCCAAGCAACUCCCAGGACAGUUUCUAGGCAGCACAGGUGUUCAAUGUUUGACACCACAAGAACUAGCUGGACCUGACAAACGAAAUCAGGCUUGGGCCAGAAAAGUUGUACACAGGUGUUUAUUGAUGACGAGCCGUUCCAUUUGAGAGAGGAGAGUCAGUGCUCUUUAAUCUCUGCACUUGAGCUCUCUCUCAACAUGCUUGAUGGCAAUAGGCAAGAGUGGAUCAGUUCAAGACAGCAGCACCAGUGCAAGGAGGCAUUGGCAUGUUCCUGCUGCAGAAGAUGGGGUGGAAGCAUGGCGAGGGCCUAGGCAAGCACAGUGAAGGCAGCAAAGAGCCAUUGCUGCUUGACAUCAAGAU
rnacentral:misc_RNA from 1 species